GGGCGAAUGGUUUAGUGGUAUAAUACUCCCUUAGCAUUCGAUCCCCUUGUCUCCUUCGAGAUUUGGGCGAUUUAUUCACUGGGAGUGGUCCGGGGUUCGAUUCCCCGUUUGUCCA
rnacentral:tRNA from 1 species